GGAACCAUAUUCAUAGCAGCAAUAAUAUUUUGAGAGUAAAAGUGGAAUUGACUUACCUACGGCGAGGAGAUUUUCACCGGUUAUUGUUGAGGUUGAUGAAGAUGAUGCGCGAACAAUUCGUAAACACGGGGCUGCAACUGGAGGCUUUUGAUGAAGGUGAUGCCACAACACCUCUUUGGACUUAUGGGAGCGCCUUGAAGAUGGAACUUCAAGUUGUUGGAAGCUUGAAGAUGAAGAUCUUCAAGAAAGGUAUGAAGAACUACCUUUUCCUUCUUCCUUACUUUGUAACUAGAAU